GAGAAUCACUUGAACCCAGGAGGCGGAGGUUGUGGUGAGCCGAGAUCACGCCAUUGCACUCCAGCCUGGCCAACAGAGCAAGACUCCAUCUCAAAAAAAAGAAAAAAAAGAAAAUAACUAACUUGCAGGCCGGGUGCAGUGGCUCACGCCUGUAAUCCCAACACUUUGGGAGGCCGAGGCGGGCGGAUCACCUGAGGCCAGGAGUUCAAAACCAG
rnacentral:lncRNA from 1 species